GCCAUGCAUGUCUCAGUACAUGCCUAAUUAAGGUGAAACCGCGAAUGGCUCAUUAAAUCAGUUAUGGUUCCUUAGAUCGUACCCACAUUUACUUGGAUAACUGUGGUAAUUCUAGAGCUAAUACAUGCAAACUAGAAUUCCGACCAGAGAUGGAAGGAAUGCUUUUAUUAGAUCAAAACCAAUCGGUGGUAUAUAAUUUCGGUUAUAUAUCCAUCGUUAAUUUUGAUGACUCUGAAUAACUUUGUGCUGAUCGCAUGGUCUUGUACCGGCGACGAAUCUUUCAAAUGUCUGCCUUAUCAACUGUCGAUGGUAGGUUCUGCGCCUACCAUGGUUGUAACGGGUAACGGGGAAUCAGGGUUCGAUUCCGGAGAGGGAGCCUGAGAAACGGCUACCACAUCCAAGGAAGGCAGCAGGCGCGCAAAUUACCCACUCCCGGCACGGGGAGGUAGUGACGAAAAAUAACGAUACGGGACUCAUCCGAGGCCCCGUAAUCGGAAUGAGUACACUUUAAAUCCUUUAACGAGGAUCCAUUGGAGGGCAAGUCUGGUGCCAGCAGCCGCGGUAAUUCCAGCUCCAAUAGCGUAUAUUAAAGUUGUUGCGGUUAAAAAGCUCGUAGUUGAAUCUGUGUGCCACGCUGUCGGUUCAUCGCUCGCGAUGUUUAACUGGCAUGAUUGUGGGACGUCCUACCGGUGGAUUUAGCUUUAUAUAUUUUCGAAUAUAUUUAGCGGUCCAACUAAUAUCCCGUCGCGGUGCUCUUUAUUGAGUGUCGAGGUGGGCCGGUACGUUUACUUUGAACAAAUUAGAGUGCUUAAAGCAGGCUUUUUUUGCCUGAAUACUGUGUGCAUGGAAUAAUAGAAUAGGACCUCGGUUCUAUUUUGUUGGUUUUCGGAACCCCGAGGUAAUGAUAAUAGGGACAGA
rnacentral:rRNA from 1 species